AGCGAACGCUGGCGGCAGGCCUAACACAUGCAAGUCGAACGAACCUUUCGGGGUUAGUGUCGGACGGGUGAGCAACAGGGUGGAACGUGCCUUUAGGCUCGGACUGACUCAGGGGAACGCGUGCUAAAACCGGAUGUGCUCUUCGGGGCGAAGAUUUAUAGGCUUUAGAGGGGCUCGCGACUGCUUAGCUAGGUGGCUGCGGUAGUGGCGUACCAAGGCGACGAUCAGUAACUGGUCUGAGAGGAUGGUCCGCCACAUUGGCAGUGAGACGCGGCGCAGACUCCUACGGGAGGCAGCAGUGGGGAAUCUUGCGCAAUGGGCGGAAGCAUGACGCAGCCAUGCCGCGAGAAUGAUGAAGGUCUGAGGAUUGUAAAAUUCUUUCACCGGGGACGAUAAUGACGGUACCCGGAGAAGAAGCCCCGGCUAACCUCGUG
rnacentral:rRNA from 1 species